GACAGAGGGUGCAAACGUUGUUCGGAAUUACUGGGCGUAAAGCGCGUGUAGGCGGCCCUGUAAGUCGGGUGUGAAAUCCCACGGCUCAACCGUGGAAGUGCAUUCGAAACUACAGGGCUAGAGUUCUGGAGAGGAAGGUGGAAUGCUUGGUGUAGAGGUGAAAUUCGUAGAUAUCAAGCGGAACACCGGUGGCGAAGGCGGCCUUCUGGACAGUAACUGACGCUGAGACGCGAAAGCGUGGGGAGCAAACAGGAUUGAAGAAACCCCU
rnacentral:rRNA from 1 species